rnacentral:snoRNA from 1 species
CGACCCGCGUUCCCCCCGUCGCCGCCAGCUGCGGGCGCUCGGGGUUUUAGCGGUGUCGCAGAGCAGUGGCGGCUCCUUCUUCACCCGGCGGAGCAGAUCAGUAACUCGUGGCUCCGCCGGAAUUUGGGGGGUCGUACAAAU